AUUCAGGCUUAAGCGGACUGGAGACAGCCCAGGAUGGAACGACCUGAGAGUCAGCCCACGAAAUGGAGGAAUGGGACCAGCAGGCCAUGCAGAGCUGAGAAUGCUGGUGGAGCUGCAGGGAAGAGUGUCCUGCAGGGGGACAGUGAUCCCAGGGGGCCCGGAGCCAAUAGGAGGGGUGACUCCACACCCCUGGAGCCUGGAGUCAAUUUACCUGUUCUGUACAUUUCACAGUGGAAUCGAGCCAGGCACCAGUGGCUUACACCUGUAAUCCAAGCUACUCAGGAGGCUGAG